UACGUAGGGGGCGAGCGUUGUCCGGAGUUACUGGGCGUAAAGCGCACGCAGGCGGUCUGCUAAGUUUGGAGUGACAGUUGGUGGCUUAACUGCCAAAGUGCUUCGAAAACUGACAGACUUGAGGGCUUCAGAGGGACACGGAAUUCCGGGUGGAGUGGUGAAAUGCGCAGAUAUCAGGAGGAACACCGGUGGCGAAGGCGGCACUCUGGGCCGGUACUGACGCUGAGGAGCGAAAGCGUGGGGAGCGAACAGG
rnacentral:rRNA from 1 species